rnacentral:rRNA from 1 species
GUAGGGGAACCUGCGGAAGGAUCAUUACCGAGUUGAUUCGGGCUCGUCCCGAUCCUCCCACCCUUUGUAUACCUACCUCUGUUGCUUUGGCGGGCCGCGGUCUUCCGCGGCCGCCCCCCGAUUUUGGGGGGUGGCUAGUGCCCGCCAGAGGACUAUCAAACUCCAGUCAGUAAACGUUGCAGUCUGAAAAAAAUAUUAAAUAAACUAAAACUUUCAACAACGGAUCUCUUGGUUCUGGCAUCGAUGAAGAACGCAGCGAAAUGCGAUAAGUAAUGUGAAUUGCAGAAUUCAGUGAAUCAUCGAAUCUUUGAACGCACAUUGCGCCCCUUGGUAUUCCGGGGGGCAUGCCUGUUCGAGCGUCAUUUCAACCCUCAAGCUCUGCUUGGUAUUGGGCACCGUCCUUUGCGGGCGCGCCUCAAAGACCUCGGCGGUGGCGUCUUGCCUCAAGCGUAGUAGAAUACACCUCGCUUCGGAGCGUAAGGCGUCGCCCGCCGGACGAACCUUCUGAACUUUUCUCAAGGUUGACCUCGGAUCAGGUAGGGAUACCCGCUGAACUUAAGCAUAUCAUAGCCGGAGGAAAUCAUUAC